AACGAACGUUAGCGGCGCGCUUAACACAUGCAAGUCGAGCGAGAAAGGGCUUCGGCCCCGGUACAGCGGCGCACGGGUGAGUAACACGUAGGUAAUCUGCCCCCAGGUAGAGGAUAACCUUACCGAAGGAGGGCUAAUACUGCAUAAGACCACGACCUCGACAGAGGAUGGGGUCAAAGCCGGCCUCUUCAUGAAAGCUGGCGCCAGGGGAUGAGCCUGCGGCCCAUCAGCUUGUUGGUAGGGUAACGGCCUACCAAGGCGAAGACGGGUAGCUGGUCUGAGAGGAUGAUCAGCCACACUGGAACUGAGACACGGUCCAGACUCCUACGGGAGGCAGCAGUGGGGAAUCUUGCGCAAUGGGCGAAAGCCUGACGCAGCGACGCCGCGUGAGUGAUGAAGGCC
rnacentral:rRNA from 1 species